AACGAACGCUGGCGGCAGGCUUAACACAUGCAAGUCGAACGCCCCGCAAGGGGAGUGGCAGACGGGUGAGUAACGCGUGGGAAUCUACCCAGAUCUUCGGAACAACUGAGGGAAACUUCAGUUAAUACCGGAUACGCCCUACGGGGGAAAGAUUUAUCGGUUCUGGAUGAGCCCGCGUUGGAUUAGCUAGUUGGUGGGGU
rnacentral:rRNA from 1 species